rnacentral:rRNA from 1 species
GACGAACGCUGGCGGCGUGCUUAACACAUGCAAGUGGAGCGACGAACCAGGCUUCGGCCUGGGGCAGAGCCGCGAACGGGUGAGUAACACGUGGGUAACGUGCCCCGAUGACUGGGACAACCCGAGGAAACUCGGGCUAAUACCGGAUAUGCCCCCUCACGAGAGUGAGGUGUGUAAAGGAAGCUUCGGCCUCCGCAUCGGGAUCGGCCCGCGGCGCAUUAGCUUGUUGGUGGGGUAACGGCCACCAAGGCGACGAUGCGUAGCUGGUCUGAGAGGACGAUCAGCCACACUGGGACUGAGACACGGCCCAGACUCCUACGGGAGGCAGCAGUGGGGAAUCUUGCGCAAUGCGCGAAAGCGUGACGCAGCAACGCCGCGUGGGGGAAGACGGCCUGG